UACGUAGGGCGCGAGCGUUGUCCGGAAUUAUUGGGCGUAAAGAGCUCGUAGGCGGCUUGUCACGUCGGAUGUGAAAGCCCGGGGCUUAACUCCGGGUCUGCAUUCGAUACGGGCAGGCUAGAGUUCGGUAGGGGAGAUCGGAAUUCCUGGUGUAGCGGUGAAAUGCGCAGAUAUCAGGAGGAACACCGGUGGCGAAGGCGGAUCUCUGGGCCGAUACUGACGCUGAGGAGCGAAAGCGUGGGGAGCGAACAGG
rnacentral:rRNA from 1 species